GGUCCACACCUGGUCCACCAUACACACCAGCAUUCUCAACAUCCUCCAGCAAAUGCCUUCUGACCACCAUUGGCAGGGGUUUGGACAAGAGGGAAAGCCUACUAUGAAGUCUGCAGAGAGGCAUGGCUCUGGAGGCUAGCGGAGAGAGCGCCCCCUGUAACUCCAGCCCUGCCUGCUACAGCUCCACAGUCCCACAAGGCCACAUUGAAGCCCAAACCCUCCCAUGGCUGCCUCUGACAACUCCAGGACACUACCGCACCAGUCAUCCAGGACAGAUAAAGUCCAGAUUCCAACGUGAUGUGCAAGUCUCCUCAAGAUCUGGCUGCUGCUAAAUGGAGGUGUGCUGGUCAAAGAGAAGAAACUUCCAAUUAUAAGAUGAGUAGUUCUGGGGAAUUUAAUGUACAGCCUGGUGAUUAUAGUCUACUUAAUAUACUAUAUUAUAUACUUAAAAGUUGUUAAGAGAGUAGAUCUUAAA